rnacentral:ncRNA from 2 species
CUGUCCCUGUAACUCCGACCCCUGCGGCCUAACGGAGAAACAACCCACGGCCUCAGGGGCGAAGUCCCGCGAAGCUUCCGGGACUCAGGGUCCGGGUGGAAACGCCCGCGCCUCCCGCGAUUGGAAAGGAGCGUUUUCACCGGGAAC